AGAAAAGGUAGCAUUAAAUUACGAAUUAAAGAUUUUAAUUUUUUUUUUUUUUGAGAAAUUAGUAGUAUGCUAUUCGUUUCGUUUAUUUUAUUUAGAAAUAAAUUUAGCUGAAAAUGUGAAUCAAUUAGGAUUCGAAUUUUUGAGAAAAUAGCACAUAAAUGGUAAAUUCAAAUUUUAAAGAAAAAUAUGUCUCUCGUUUCAAAAUAAAGAGGAAAGAGAACAUUU
rnacentral:lncRNA from 1 species